GAUGAACGCUGGCGGCGUGCCUAAUACAUGCAAGUCGAGCGAACAGACGAGGAGCUUGCUCCUCUGACGUUAGCGGCGGACGGGUGAGUAACACGUGGAUAACCUACCUAUAAGACUGGGAUAACUUCGGGAAACCGGAGCUAAUACCGCAUAAUAUAUUGAACCGCAUGGUUCAAUAGUGAAAGACGGUUUUGCUGUCACUUAUAGAUGGAUCCGCGCCGCAUUAGCUAGUUGGUAAGGUAACGGCUUACCAAGGCAACGAUGCGUAGCCGACCUGAGAGGGUGAUCGGCCACACUGGAACUGAGACACGGUCCAGACUCCUACGGGAGGCAGCAGUAGGGAAUCUUCCGCAAUGGGCGAAAGCUUGACGGAGCAACGCCGCGUGAGUGAUGAAGGUCUUCGGAUCGUAAAACUCUGUUAUUAGGGAAGAACAAAUGUGUAAGUAACUAUGCACGUCUUGACGGUACCUAAACAGAAAGCCACGGCUAACUACGU
rnacentral:rRNA from 1 species